GGAUAGAGACGCCCAGAGUGAUCAGUUGGGACAGAGACAUGUCUUCACUGAAGCCCUGGCGCCAAACCAAGGAGUGAAAACCUUGUGCAGCCGCCCCGAGGACACCAGACUUGUUCUGCGUGCUCUUCGAAAGCAAGGGUGCAAGGUGGAAACUCUUAGAGUGUGAGUGUUUUCCACGAUAAGCGUUGACCAAGGCUGGGACUAGAGAAAUGCUCUUGAACCUCAUGCCUCAACGCAGAAAUUCCCUUGUGUGAACUGAGAGUAUGAAUUGAGAAAUAUGAGCCACUGACCAGGUCUGGGACUAAGGUUGGGUUCAGCCGCCCCAAGGCUGUCCAGAAAGGCAGUUUUGAAUGCAAGGGGGCCCAACUGGAACCCUGUGACCCAGUGGACAGGUUUACCCUUUCCUCACCCUCAUAAAUGAGCUGUGUCUAACCGUAAGUAACUGCAUUGUGUGCCAUUAUUGCAGUGGAGUCUUGUCUUUGGACAUUAGCCACAGCAUUUCUGUGCCACUAGCAAAUCUCACAACCUGACCGGACACCCUCAAUAAGUCAUUCCUGUGUGAAAGACCUGUGUGAAUUGAGUUAAAGAAAUGGGGAGCGGAGGAUCUAAAGAUGUACCGGCUCUGC